rnacentral:rRNA from 1 species
AUGAUGCUGGCUGAAGACCUUGGGCUGCCGAACCUAAGAAGCAUCACAGUUGCAGAUAUAGAGGCUGUGCGUUGCCCUAAACCGUCUCAACGUUCUUCUUGUGCAACUGAACAAAGGCGGAUACCGUGCUAUGGAGCAUCAAAAAAUGAACGAAAACCUGUCACUCGAAGUGCCGUGAAGGGGAAUUUGUCCAAGGGGUCCACACUGAUGAAGCCUACAGCCAGUCAAUUGGCCAGGCAACACAAGCAACUUGAAGUGAAGAAUGCUGUGCCGAGUAAAAAAUCAGUUGGAGUGAGAAGUGACAGAAGUACCAUUAGCUCAAAUGAUUGCACUCAACAAGCUGGUAAAAGGCAGAAACUUGAAAAGGGUCAUCUCAACAAGGAUGUUGCUACAAAUCAACAUGAGUUGAUUCACAAGGCCCAUGAAAAGAAUGUUAUGAGCAGUAGCUAUGAUCGUGCCACUGUUCUACCUAAAUUGAAGAUUACAGUUCCGAGAGAACCUGAGUUGGCUACUAAGCUGAGAGCAGAGAGGUCAAGGAUUCAAAGAUCAGUCCCAAGUAAUUCAAAGCAGUUAAACAGACGGGAUUUACAACCUGCUUGUAGGACUCAAUCGGCACCGACUAGAAAGGUCGUGCAACCUUUUCGGGCUCAUCAGCAUGCAAAUAUACUACAUGUCAAUGUUGCACCAAAAACGCCAGUGUGUUCAUCUAACCGUGCAACUAGUCUUCACAACAUUGAUAAAACAUCAGAAGAUGACCGAGAUGGCACGUUUAAAUUUAAAGCUCUGCCACUGGAUAAAAAGAUAUUGGCAAGCAGAGGAGACAUCGGUGUACUUCAAACUGCCAAAAGAAAUCCUACAGUGCCCAAGGAAUUCAACUUGUCAACAAGCCGGAAGAGCAAGCCGCCUCCAUUAUCUGAACUCUUUAACAAGCUUUCUUUAAGUACCGAAGCCUGCCGUGCCAUGGACCGCCAGGCCAGUGAACGCCCAAACUAUAUCACUACCAAGAGAACAUGA